UGGGGUGGAGACUGAGACCUUCUGAGCACCAGGGGAUGGGGCUAGAGGGCACUUAUCUCGGAGUGUGGUGCCUGCAGGCUGGGCAGAGGCCUGGGCUGGGCCGCAUCAGGCUGCAGGGGUCCCCCGGUCCUGAAGGGGCCAGGGAAGGGGCAGUCUUGGGGAGAGGCAGGCGCUGAGGGCCAGCGGCCACUCAAGCUGGAGGAUGAAACCAAAAAAGGACAUGCCGAGGCCCAGAGUCAGACUCCAGGCGAGUGGGCAGGCUGCGCAAGAGCUGCAGUGAGCAGCGGCCGCCCAGCCUGAGGACCUUCCCGGCUGGCAGGACGCUCCGUCAGAGGCAAUUCCGGAGGUCCAGUGACCCUCUGGUCCCUGGCAAGAGCCAGGAAAGAAUCCUCCAGUCUCGGGGAAUAAAAAUGAGGGCACAGCCUAACCACAGUGCUAGGAUCGCUAGACGGGCGUGGGACUUCUCCAGCUGGCCGACGACGCGCAGGACCAGAGACUGGAAAAGAACCAGGGGCCCGAAAGUCCGGAUUGCCUCUGGAUUUCCUGAACUCGAUUGAUUUUCUUCUACUGCUCAUCUGCUUUGUUUCUUCAUCUUCAGGAGCAUAUGAAAGGAGGAAUGGAUUAAUAAUGUGACAAAAUAUGUUCCAUGAGUGAGCUACAAUGGAUGCUAACAAGGACCAAAGUGACUGCAAGUCUCUGAGUGUUGCCGGGCCACCUUGAGGGGAUCCAGCUGAACCCUGUGCAGAACAGAGAAGGGCGAUGUCUCAGAUUGACAGGACACUUCUGCUUCUGGACUGGGGCUACAGGGAGUUUGCAGAGCUUUUCCACCACUUUUUUUCCUGCCCACCCACCUCUAGUGACUCAUUCCCUUCUACUUGUGCAGAAGGUAGAUAACCUGACAAAUGACAAGACCACGGAGUCCCAAGUGAAUGGCAUGUCAAAGCAGAGAGCAGAAUGUGUUGGUCCCUCUUCUUGCUUACUUCCUACUGCACAGAGUUUCUGGAGCCCUCUGAAUAUGUUGCUGGUGAUAAAUUGUGCUGUUUUGUGAGUUUAUUGCAAUUUUUAAAGGGAAAAAAGAAAUAAUGCUGCUUAGUUGGCUUCUAGGAUUGUCAACUGUGUCCCAUGGUAGGUCAGUUCCUGUGUUUGAGGAGCAUGGCAACAAAGAAAAGGAACUGAGCCAGCUUAAAUACCAGCACAUGUGCACCCAAAUGUGUGCUGCCUACAUCAAAAUAUUCAUUUAGGUGACAGUAGUUUUAUUUUUUUUAUUGAAGUAUAGUUGAUAUGCAGUCAUAUAUUGGUUUCAAGUAUAUAACCCAGUGGUUCAAUGAUUACAUAUACCGUUAAAUCCCAACUAGUGCAGUUACUGUCAUAAUAGAAGGAUGUAUCAUUGGUUAGAUUCUCCACAUUGUAACAUCCUCGUGACCAACUUACAUUAUGAUUGAGAAUUUUUGUGCCCCUUUAUCUCCCUCACCUGCUCACCCACCCACCCCAGACCCUAGGUAACAUUAAUUUUGCAUCUGCUAUGUAUCAGGGACUGUGAGGGAAUAAAUAUUAAAUAUGGCCCAUCCUCAUAGACUAGACAUAUAGAUCAAUAGAGUAGAAUUGAGAGUUCAGAAAUAAUCCCUUGUUUCAUGGUCAUCUGGUUUUAACAAAUAUGCUAGAACAAUUCAGUGGAGAAAGAAUCAUGUUUUCAAUAAUUGGUGCUGCGACAACUGGAUACACACACAUAAAAGGAUGAAUUUAGACGCCUUCUUUAUCUCAUAUGUAUAUAAAACUUAGUUAAAAAUGGAUCAUAGACAUACAUGUAAGAAAUAAAACUCUUGGAAGAAAGCAUAGGUGUAAAUCUUUGUGAGCAUGGAUUAGGCAAAUGCUUUUUUAGAUAUGACACCUACACAAGCAAAGCAAGAAGAAAACAGAUAAAUUAGGUUUCAUCACAAGUAAAAGCUUUGUGCUUCAAAUGACACCAUCAAGAAAGUGAAAGAAAAACACUCAGAGAAAAUA